rnacentral:rRNA from 1 species
AGAGUUUGAUCAUGGCUCAGAUUGAACGCUGGCGGCAGGCCUAACACAUGCAAGUCGAACGUGAAAGCACUUCGGUGUGAGUAGAGUGGCGGACGGGUGAGUAACGCGUAGGAAUCUACCUAGUAGUGGGGGACAACAUGUGGAAACGCAUGCUAAUACCGCAUACGCCCUAUGGGGGAAAGCGGGGGAUCUUCGGACCUCGUGCUAUUGGAUGAGCCUGCGUAAGAUUAGCUAGUUGGUGGGGUAAAGGCCUACCAAGGCGACGAUCUUUAGCUGGUCUGAGAGGAUGAUCAGCCACACUGGAACUGAGACACGGUCCAGACUCCUACGGGAGGCAGCAGUGGGGAAUAUUGCGCAAUGGGGGCAACCCUGACGCAGCCAUGCCGCGUGUGUGAAGAAGGCCCUAGGGUUGUAAAGCACUUUCAGCGAGGAGGAAAAGUUGUACGUUAAUAGCGUGCAACCGUGACGUUACUCGCAGAAGAAGCACCGGCUAAUUCAGUGCCAGCAGCCGCGGUAAUACUGAAGGUGCAAGCGUUAAUCGGAAUUACUGGGCGUAAAGCGCGCGUAGGCGGCUUGGUCAGUUGGAUGUGAAAGCCCCGGGCUCAACCUGGGAACUGCAUUCAAUACUGCCAAGCUAGAGUAUGGGAGAGGGCUGUGGAAUUCCACGUGUAGCGGUGAAAUGCGUAGAUAUGUGGAGGACAUCAGUGGCGAAGGCGGCAGCCUGGCCCA